CCUACGGGAGGCAGCAGUAGGGAAUCUUUCACAAUGGGCGAAAGCCUGAUGGAGCAACGCCGCGUGCAGGAUGAAGGCCUUCGGGUUGUAAACUGCUUUUAUAAGCGAGAAAUAUGAUGGUAACUUAUGAAUAAGGAUCGGCUAACUACGUGCCAGCAGCCGCGGUCAUACGUAGGAUCCGAGCAUUAUCCGGAGUGACUGGGUGUAAAGAGUUGCGUAGGUGGCAUAAUAAGUAGCUAGUGAAAGCUGGUGGCUCAACCAUUCAGACUAUUAGCUAAACUGUUAAGCUCGAGACCGUUAGGGGUAACUGGAAUUUCUAGUGUAGGAGUGAAAUCCGUAGAUAUUAGAAGGAACACCAAUAGCGUAGGCAGGUUGCUGGGACGGUUCUGACACUAAGGCACGAAAGCGUAGGGAGCAAACGGGAUUAGAUACCCCUGUAGUC
rnacentral:rRNA from 1 species